rnacentral:lncRNA from 1 species
GAUGACGGCUCUCUCAUUCUGUCGUUAGUUCUUGUUAUUUCGCUGUUCACUUUUGCAUCAGUGUGCUUUGAGGGACAGGUACAAAUUAAAAGAUCAGAAAGCAUUUAGCCUUCUCCCAAACAGAACUGAAAGUCAGAGAAAAAGAAGGAGUGGAGAGUGUAGGCUAAAAUGUAAAGAAGACCCAAAUCCUAUUACGAAACGCACUUAAAUAAGCUGGAGCUGCACCGAGACUUUAUCAGAAGAAAGAGGAGCAGCUCGUGGAGCAUAAGGGAUCACAGGCGAGAUUGGAACGGGACGCUGUAAAGCCUGGAACUGGACUCUGUAAGGACUGGAACUGGAUGCUGUAAAGGCUUGAACUGGACGCUAUAAAGCCUGGAACUGGACUCUCUAAAGCUAUCAGCAACCGAAGCAUCUACUCGUUCUGUCUCUUACUGGGAGAUGUAGAGUUUCUGCUGAUUAUCGUGAGUCUGCUCCCUCUUCUCUCACUUUCUGUAGCUCUGCUUAGUUCACUUUAUCCACAUGGCAGAAGUGUCCACCUCAUCUAUAAGGCCUACCAGACCAAGAACUCAAGGAAAGCUUGAUCGGCCUGAGUUCUAAUUUCAUAUUCACCGAAAAGAGUAUCUGCAAAGCUUUCGUCAGGCAUCCACAUCUGGUCCAGUUAGCUGUGGUCACGCGGGCGGGGCACAUGGCCUGUUGGCCGCUCAGCAAGGCUGACUCUCAGAGACACAGCUGCAGGCAGGCAAGGUUGGAAAGGCCUCCGCUACUCCUAGUUUUCUAGGAAAUAUUGUGUUUCAGGAUUAAUCAAGGGGAAUUCCUUGGGCUUGGAAUUUGAUGGCCUAUUAAAUACCACAAAAUUCUUACUUGAUUUUCUGAUUAUGUUUUUAUCUUGAUGGCCAUCUUUUUAUAAAUUUUCUUAAAAUAUGUUUGUAAUUGAACCCGAUCCUUCUACUCUGUUUUGAAGAAAGCAGAGUACAGUCUUUAUUCUUAUCAUAGAUAUUGUCUCCAGGAACUUUCCCAUAUUUCUGGGUAUAGACAAUAUGAGUUGAUAUCCUUGUGGGUAAUGUGGACCUUUUAUUCGUGGGCAACUUUUGCAAAGAGGCUCCAAAGGUGAGAAAUGCAAGUGGAAGGGAAAAUUCAGCUGAAAGAAUGGAGGAUGGAGAAUUCAUGAGGCCCAAAGUCAGAAGGAUACGAAGAAUGCAAAAUCUGCAAGUGUAUUUAGCCAAGCCACAUGGAGGGAAUUGUUUUAACCACUGAACUUUGAUCAGAUUCCCCAAAACAGGCAUUUCUCCUCACUUUCUUUCUUUCCUUCUCUUUAUGUCCCUCUCUCCUCUGAUUUUCUUGAAGUGUUAAAAGAAUGUUGCUAGUUCCUUUCUUAACUUCUUUAUGGAGCUAAUUACAAAAACAGAAAUAAGAGGAAAGUACACUUUGACCAUUUGUUAAAAAAAAGUUAUGGUUUAUACAAAUAGCUGGAGUUUUCCAGAUAUGGAAUAGACCUUUCCAGUGCCUUGGUGAAUCCAUUUGCAGAAAGAUUCGAGGAAAGCUCUAAAUACAGUCAGUGCCAGUUCUUGCAGGAGGUGUGGGAGUUUGUUUCUCUACAUCUCCAACAAGGGUGGGUGCCUUCGGGAAGUUGCCUCAAUAAUGAGAUUUGAGCACACUUUCUGAUGGACUUUAUUCCCCCGAUAGGGCAUGAGUUUGAUAGACGUCUUCUCUAUCACAUGUUGUUUCCCUUCCAAGAAAGCAUGAGUUAUCUGGACUUUUUUCCCCUAAAUUACAUGGAAAGAUAGAAAAGAGGGAGGGAGGAAGCAGAGAGGGAAAAGAGAGUAUUUUAAAAGCUAAAACCAACAUCAAACCUUACUAAGGCAGAGGUUGAUUGUUAAAUAAAAUAACGCCGUUAAUGGGUAGUCAGAGUGGUUCUAAACAGAGCAACACGUGUGAAUUUUGCACGUCUCUAAACCACAUUUAAUAGUGCUUGUAGACAAAAAAUACAAUCACAAGUCAAGUCUAUGCUAAAGAAAGCAUUAAAGAUCAUUAGGAUACAUUUAAUAUUAAAAGACUUUGCUUCUGUCUUAAAAAUGUUCUGUGACUUUGUCUUUUCUACAAUUCUGUUGGAACGUUUCUCCA